AUUUAUUGAUAUUUUCAAGACAUUUUGAAAAGGUUAAGGUUCCCUUGCUUGUUAAUCUCUGGAAAUCGCGUUUAAGUUCCGGAUUUCAUUUCGGAUGUGACAGCAAACACACAUUUUCUCCACUGGCAGAUAAUUUAAAGCGCAGCCACUUUCUGAUUGUCAAAAACAAAAAAUAAAUCGUUACAGACCCAC
ensembl:lincRNA linc-53 ncRNA